rnacentral:rRNA from 1 species
CAUGGUUCAAAAGUGAAAGACGGUCUUGCUGUCACUUAUAGAUGGAUCCGCGCUGCAUUAGCUAGUUGGUAAGGUAACGGCUUACCAAGGCAACGAUGCAUAGCCGACCUGAGAGGGUGAUCGGCCACACUGGAACUGAGACACGGUCCAGACUCCUACGGGAGGCAGCAGUAGGGAAUCUUCCGCAAUGGGCGAAAGCCUGACGGAGCAACGCCGCGUGAGUGAUGAAGGUCUUCGGAUCGUAAAACUCUGUUAUUAGGGAAGAACAUAUGUGUAAGUAACUGUGCACAUCUUGACGGUACCUAAUCAGAAAGCCACGGCUAACUACGUGCCAGCAGCCGCGGUAAUACGUAGGUGGCAAGCGUUAUCCGGAAUUAUUGGGCGUAAAGCGCGCGUAGGCGGUUUUUUAAGUCUGAUGUGAAAGCCCACGGCUCAACCGUGGAGGGUCAUUGGAAACUGGAAAACUUGAGUGCAGAAGAGGAAAGUGGAAUUCCAUGUGUAGCGGUGAAAUGCGCAGAGAUAUGGAGGAACACCAGUGGCGAAGGCGACUUUCUGGUCUGUAACUGACGCUGAUGUGCGAAAGCGUGGGGAUCAAACAGGAUUAGAUACCCUGGUAGUCCACGCCGUAAACGAUGAGUGCUAAGUGUUAGGGGGUUUCCGCCCCUUAGUGCUGCAGCUAACGCAUUAAGCACUCCGCCUGGGGAGUACGACCGCAAGGUUGAAACUCAAAGGAAUUGACGGGGACCCGCACAAGCGGUGGAGCAUGUGGUUUAAUUCGAAGCAACGCGAAGAACCUUACCAAAUCUUGACAUCCUUUGACAACUCUAGAGAUAGAGCCUUCCCCUUCGGGGGACAAAGUGACAGGUGGUGCAUGGUUGUCGUCAGCUCGUGUCGUGAGAUGUUGGGUUAAGUCCCGCAACGAGCGCAACCCUUAAGCUUAGUUGCCAUCAUUAAGUUGGGCACUCUAAGUUGACUGCCGGUGACAAACCGGAGGAAGGUGGGGAUGACGUCAAAUCAUCAUGCCCCUUAUGAUUUGGGCUACACACGUGCUACAAUGGACAAUACAAAGGGCAGCGAAACCGCGAGGUCAAGCAAAUCCCAUAAAGUUGUUCUCAGUUCGGAUUGUAGUCUGCAACUCGACUACAUGAAGCUGGAAUCGCUAGUAAUCGUAGAUCAGCAUGCUACGGUGAAUACGUUCCCGGGUCUUGUACACACCGCCCGUCACACCACGAGAGUUUGUAACACCCGAAGCCGGUGGAGUAACCUUUUAGGAGCUAGCCGUCGAAGGUGGGACAAAUGAUUGGGGUGAAGUCGUAACAAGGUAGCCGUAUCGGAAGGUGCGGCUGGAUCACCUCCUUUCUAAGGA